rnacentral:misc_RNA from 1 species
AACGCUUGCUGGUCUUUUGACGUAGCUCGUUCGUAAUACAUUAGCAACUCUAAUUCGACUUCGGAUUGACUCAGUGUAAUAGACUAUUCGCUGAGGACACUUUUACUAGUGGCCGAACGAGAUAACUGUAGAUGCUUCGAACCUCUAUAGUCAACUUUAGAUUAGACCUCAGAUCAGGCAGGAUUACCCGCUGAACUUAA